CCUACGGGUGGCUGCAGUGGGGAAUUUUCCGCAAUGGGCGAAAGCCUGACGGAGCAAUACCGCGUGAGGGAUGACGGCCUAUGGGUUGUAAACCUCUUUUUUCAGGGAGGAAUCAAUGACGUGUACCUGAGGAAUAAGCAUCGGCUAACUCCGUGCCAGCAGCCGCGGUAAGACGGAGGAUGCAAGUGUUAUCCGGAAUCACUGGGCGUAAAGCGUCUGUAGGUGGUCAAAUAAGUCAACUGUUAAAUCUUGAGGCUCAACCUCAAAAUCGCAGU
rnacentral:rRNA from 1 species